AACACCUUCAUACAGACAUACAUGCAGGCAGAACACCAAUGAUUAUGAAAUAAAAAUAAAUACAUUCAUUUUUUAAGGGAGCAGUUUUACCAGGUAUGACAGCUACUCAGGGUAUUGCUAUGGCUAGAUCCACAGCCCUCAAGAUAAUGUGAGAUGUGGCUUUGAAUGCCUCCACCAUCCAUCAGUCUAGCUACUCCCAGAGGUUCUGCUCCAAGGAGUAUAAUAAAAUGGCAUUUUAUUCAAGGGACUUGCAGAAUAAUAGUAACUCCCUAUUCAAUUCCCCCUCCCCAAAUCUCACAAUUAAAACAAUCAUAGCAUAAUUGGGUCCAUUUCAAAGUUUUCUUAAGUAAUUUGACAUGCCAACCACUUUGCAUUUGAGGCUUUUAUUGGCUGAAAAGUCUGUCAUGAAAUGCAAACACACCUGACAGCAAUUUAAAAAGGGCACCAGAGAGCUGCUCCGGAAAUAAUAUCGGAGCUAAUUAAAACCACGGGUUAAAAGCUUCCUGUCUCUUCCUCCAGGUGCCCUCAGGAAUGACCUUUUCUUCUUCUGCUUUGGCUCUUUGCUCUAUGCAGCUAGAGUUCCUCACUGUGUGUGAUGGCUCCAGGAGAGCCUCAACCACAACCAUCCACGCCAUGGCUCUCCCGAGUACAAGGCCUGGCUUCCUGGUGGCAGGGUGGAUACUCGGGCAAGUUAGUGUCCAGGGCCUGAUGUGUGAGGACUACCGAGGCAGCUGCUCUGACCACAAGUCCAAUCAGAGAGCAAAAGCAGUGUCCAAAGGAGAGCUCUUUUGGGAAACAUGUUGGGGAAAGUUAGAUUCUUAGGGAAGGAAAUGAUUGACUGUAUCACUCGCUUUUUAUAAUUCCUUCUUCUCUCCUUUCUUGAUUCAGGAUCUCAUGUAGCCCAGGCUGGCCUCAAAUGUGCUAUGUACUUCAGGAUGACCUUGAACUUCUGAUCUUCCUGUCUCUAUCUCCUGAGUGCUGGGGUUAAAUGCAUUUGUCACCACACCCAGUAUUACGUGAUGCUGGGGCAUCAAACCAGGGCCUUGUGCAUGCCAGGCAAGCACUCUACCAAGUGAGCUACAACUAGCCCCAAUUUUCUCCUCUUCUCUUCCUGUCUCUCUCUUUUCUAAGGUACUGACUGAAUCCAGGACCUGACACAUGACAAGCAACUGCUAUUGGAAUGAACACAGAGCUUUUUCCUGGCAUCACAGUGUACCUUUCCAAAGAGAGAGGAUGGUGUCUGAGGUAUAUUGCCACACAACACCCUUAUUAACAGGCUGCUGAUUGCUACAAUUUACAUCAAUGAAGAGCGGAUCCCUCUGAUUUCACGUGGGUUUCAGACGAGUUGGGACGGACCAGAAUCUUCCAAAGCCCUUGUUCUGAAAGUGGCCUUCCAAAAGCUCCUGCAACGGUCGAUAUUCCGUGCCACAGGCUAUUUGGUGCAGUGGACCAGAGGCUAAUAAAACUGUCCUUAUGCAUAAGCCACAGUACUAUGUGACUGUGUCUGGGCCAGGAACCAAGGCGUGCUAUGAUUUCAGAGCCCGGAUUCCUGUCACCUGGGGAGGAGACACGCUCCGGUGACGUAAGAAAGCAGAUAAAUCAACCAUCCCCAAGACCCGCGGCCUCUGAAAUUAAGGGAGAAAAUCUGCGGCAGUUGGUUCAGUUGGCACCCAUUAAAGCUAAUAACUAAUCAUUCUCGCAAGUUUCUAGCUCAGAACGAUGAGAUCUGUAAAGAAAACAACAUCCGUCCACUUUUACACUCCAGUGGAAGGGGUGGUCCCUCGCGGCAGGGCGGCACAGUCUCGCCAUCUGGAGAAUAAAUCGAGUGUGAAGUACAGUAUAGUUUGGGACCAAGCUCCGUGGCGGCCGCUCAGCAGUCAGUUCAUUAGCCCCAAACUUCCAGGGAUUAGAGGGGCAUCAAUUCUACUGUCGGAUAGGAUGAGACAGACAGGGCACGGGAUUCAAGAAGCAUCGAGACAUCCAGGAGCCCCCUCGGGUUUAUUUAUAGAAUCACAAAGUAUAAACACACUCAAAUACGAGCCUUAAAUAACAGCAUCAUCAGCUCCCUAACAUCUGAGCGAACGAACACCUUCCCUCUGCGCCCUACCCCAAACCGUGAAGUAAAAGUAUACCUUUUACCAGGACAGGGGAAAGCGCGCCUCCACCAGAAGCUGAGAUCUGGUAAUUAAGAAACAGAAAGGGCCUUCUAGACUCAGGGGAGGUGUGCAGCAUUUGUAAUUAAAAACAUAUAUAAAAUUAAUAUUUUCAUUCCAUAAAUAUAAAUGUCAUGCUUUAUGUUCCAAAGCACUAGUAAAUUCUGCCUUUUAUAGAUUGGUCCAUCUUAACCCAUUUCCAUUUCAUCUAACUUGUAAAGAAAGUGAGGUCACAGGUAUGGACUCUUCCAAGUUUUGAGCAUAAGGCCUUGAUAUCAGCAUCUUUAUAUUAAAAUUGUCAAUGUCAAAAAAAGAAAAAAAACCAAAAAGUUUGUGUGAACUGUUCCACCUAAAGACCUCCUUUUUCAUCUGUUUUCUAAACAUCUGUAAUAAAAAGCAGAAACACCUGUGACAAAAUAGGUAAUCACAAGGAGACCAUGUUGCAUUUCUUUAUCAGUGUUCAGAAUUUAUCAUUACAGGGGUCACUAAGAGGGAUGUAGUAACCAAAUCGAAAAACAUAUUCCCCGAUUCCUGCAAACUGGCAGUGUGUUUCAUUAGGCAAGAGACGGUGUUGGCAUUUAAUAAGGCAUUAAUUGUACAAAAUAAUGAGUUUUGUUCCGACUUUUCAAAUAUGCACAGGACUUGCUUUGAUCCUAUGAAUUUCUAGCUCAUUGGUUUUUGUUGUAGUGUGGAAAAGAAAUCUUGUUUGUUUUCCUGAAAGAAAAAAAAAGGAAGGAAGAAAGGAAAGAAGGAACAGAGAAAAGAAAACCUCACAUUGAUGACAUUCAGUAUCUUAACUGACUCAAAAUUUCAUGCCUUGAUUCAUCCUACAGCCUUCUACAUGUCAUCCCUAUUUACUCUGAAACCAUAGAUUUUGAUACAGGAGAGCUUUUAAUAUGUUAAUCAUGAAAGAUACAUUAAAACAAGGGCUUAUGGCAAAAAAAAUUACAAACCAUCUUUCAUUUCAAGGACUGAAAAGGCUCAGGAAGCUUACAGCAUGGAAUUGGAAUUUGUCAUCUCAGAGAUUUAAUUGACUCUACAACCAACAGAUACAACACAUAAACCACAACAAUGACAUUCAAAACUCUAUGAGAAGAGUUUAUUUUAUGGUCUCCAAGUAAUUAAAAACAUUUCUAGCAGAGCCAGCAAGAGAAGCUCUGCAGGCAAAGGCCCUGCUGCCGAGCUUGAGGAUAUGAGCCUGAUCCCCCAAACCACACAGUGGAGAUGAACUGGCUCCUGAAGGUUGACCUUUGACCAUCACAUAGCCAGGUAGCUGCGGCAUGCACUGUUCCCCAAAUAUUUUCAAUGUGAAUGACACAGGCCUUUACAUGUGUAUCACAUAAAGGAUGUAUAUAGAUUUCACCUAAAAAAUAGAGAACGAACUACAAACAAAUGUCCAUCUCUAGUCGAUGAUAAGCAUGCAGUAGAACUGAGGGGAGACUGAGUGGGCUGUCUGCAACUCACAUUGGAAUAAAUUUCAAAAGAUGAGUUGAUGAUAGACAAGAGAACAGACUGAUACAGAGGAGGGAAGGCAGAAUAACGUGUUAGUGGGAAAAUACAGCUGAGAAUACUUGACAUUCAUUGUAUAAUCUUCCAAAUUUUCUGAUGCUCAGAAUUCUGGUAAUAAAAUUAAGGAGAAAAAAAUCCUGAAAAGAUUUCUAAAAUGUUCAUAUUUGGAGGAGCUGGUCAAUGACUGUAUGUUUGUUACAAACAAACAAACAAAAACCCUCACAAUUCUUCUUUACAUUUGUGUAUAUUUGAGUAUUCCCACAAUAAAAAGUUUCACUUUGUUAUUUGUAGGACACAAUUUGUAGACAAUAAUUUGUGAGUUUUUGGUGGGUUCAUUUUUUGUUUGCUUGUUUUUGGUGGUGGUGUUUUGGUUUGU